rnacentral:rRNA from 1 species
AUUGAACGCUGGCGGCAGGCCUAACACAUGCAAGUCGAGCGAGCGGCGGACGGGUGAGUAAUGUCUGGGAAACUGCCUGCUGGAGGGGGAUAACUACUGGAAACGGUAGCUAAUACCGCAUACCAUCCGAUGUCCCCAGAUGGGAUUAGCUAGUAGGUGGGGUAACGGCUCACCUAUGCGACGAUCCCUAGCUGGUCUGAGAGGAUGACCAGGCACACUGGGACGGAGAGACGGUCCAGACUGCUCAGGGAGGCAGCAGUGGGGAAUAUUGCUCAAUGGGCGCGAGCCUGAUGCAGCCAUGCCGCGUGUGUGAAGAAGGCGUUAGGGUUGUAAAGCACUUUCAGCGGGGAGGAGUUACCCGCAGAAGAAGCACCGGCUAACUCCGGGCCAGCAGCCGCGGUAAUUC